rnacentral:rRNA from 1 species
AACGUAGGUACCGAGCGUUAUCCGGAUUUACUGGGCGUAAAGCGCGUUCAGGCGGUUUGGCAAGUCGGGCAUGAAAUCUCUCGGCUCAACCGGGAGAGGUUGUCCGAUACUUCCAGACUUGAGGGCAGUAGAGGGUGGUGGAAUUCCGGGUGUAGUGGUGAAAUGCGUAGAUAUCCGGAGGAACACCAGUGGCGAAAGCGGCCACCUGGACUGCACCCGACGCUGACACGCGAAAGCUAGGGGAGCGAACGGG